AACCAAUCAAUGAUUUACAAAUUACAUACAACAACUCAAUACACAAUGAUUUAGAAAUGACAUAGAACAAGUUAAUACAGUUUUUGUUAUAAAUCCCCCAAAAUCCAAAUCGAGGGUCAAUUGGUCAUCUCGCAAUCUGAACUCCGUUGUCGCCUUAUUGCCACACUCCUCCGUGACACCCUACUCCCCAACCAAAAGAACUUGAACCUCAUCGCAUACACUCUAGAAAGCCUUGUCCUUCGUGACACCCCAAAAAUCAAAAGCCCUAUUGAUAAUUGCAAUAAAAUCCUAUAUUUAUUUGUCAUUUUUGGACAAUUAGUUGAUACCUCUCGUGCUUUUCAAUUUUGUUUAUGUCUAUUUGAGUAAAGUUUGAAAAAAAAGGUUUAACUAGGAUGUACUACUUUAUGCCUUUUAUGCUUGAUCCUUGUUUGUUUUCAUAUGAUUUGUAGGAACUUUGUGAAAGCAAGGGUUGAGCAAAAGAUAUUUUUUAAGAGCGAUCUUGAGGCAUCAAGGAUCCUUUGGUUCAAAAUUUAAAGUUUGGAUGUUUUGUGGAGCCAAAAGAAAUUUAUGAGAGUUUUGGAAUCUCGCGCACCUGUGCAAGAAAUUAUGAAGGAAUUUGUGCACCCAUGCUGAAAUUUGAAGUGGUUAAGAACUAUACAUUUGCACAACAGGACUAUGCACCUGUGCAACAUCUGUUGCAGGAAUUCCUUAUUACUUUUCAUUCUUUUUUGUAUUGUGCUUAAACUCCAUUUAACCCAUAGCUUUAAAUAGAGUUUUUCUGGUCUAGUCUAGUGUUCCAAAGAUUGAACACUUAAGAUGGAGAAAGAAAUUGGAAUUUGCCAAAUGACUUUGUAUGCACUAGAAGCUUUUCUCCAUUAUUCCUCCGUCAAAAGCUUUCUUUUUCAUGAUUAUGAGUAGCUAACUUCUCACUUUUGUUGGAAUUUAAUGCAAUUGAUCCUACUUUCAUG
rnacentral:lncRNA from 1 species